CCUACGGGAGGCAGCAGUGAGGAAUAUUGGUCAAUGGACGGAAGUCUGAACCAGCCAUGCCGCGUGCAGGAAGACGGCUCUAUGAGUUGUAAACUGCUUUUGUACAAGGGUAAACCUGAAUACGUGUAUUCAGCUGAAAGUACUGUACGAAUAAGGAUCGGCCAACUCCGGUCCAGCAGCCGCGGUAAUAAGGAGGAUCCAAGCGUUAUCCGGGUUUAUUUGGGUUAAAGGGUGCGUAGGCGGAUUGAUAAGUUAGAGGUGAAAUGUCCGGGCUUAACUCGGGAACUGCCUCUAAUACUGUUGAUCUAGAGAGGACAUGCGGUAGGCGGAAUGUAUGGUGUAGCGGUGAAAUGCUUAGAGAUCAUACAGAACACCGAUUGCGAAGGCAGCUUACCAAUCUAUAUCUGACGUUGAGGCACGAAAGCGUGGGGAGCAAACAGGAUUAGAUACCCGUGUAGUC
rnacentral:rRNA from 1 species